rnacentral:rRNA from 1 species
GACAGUGCUGCAUGGCUGUCGUCAGCUCGUGUUGUGAAAUGUUGGUUAAGUCCCGCAACGAGCGCAACCCUUAUCCUUUGUUGCCAGCGGUCCGGCCGGGAACUCAAAGGAGACUGCCAGUGAUAAACUGGAGGAAGGUGGGGAUGACGUCAAGUCAUCAUGGCCCUUACGACCAGGGCUACACACGUGCUACAAUGGCGCAUACAAAGGGAAGCGACCUCGCGAGAGCAAGCGGACCUCAUAAAGUGCGUCGUAGUCCGGAUUGGAGUCUGCAACUCGACUCCAUGAAGUCGGAAUCGCUAGUAAUCGUGGAUCAGAAUGCCACGGUGAAUACGUUCCCGGGCCUU